CUCUCACACUUCCUGAUUCACACGACAUCGGAUCGCAAAGGUCACAAAAGCCUGCAACAUAUCAACGUUCUGCUUUAAACACAUUUGAAAAGCAUUAAGAUGUGAGUGAGCUCUUUAGCCCCUUUUUAACGUGACGGAAACGCUCACAAGCGUGUUCAAAAACAGCCAAAGAAGCGAGGGCAACGUUUGUCUGUUACAAAGCGAAAUGGUAUCCCGGCGGCUUUGUUGUUAACUAAUGGCCCAAACACAAGCGGUUAGCCUGGAAACACAAUGAAGAUGAAGAUGAAGGGAUUUGAGUCGCUGUUACCCACCUCAUUGUUCGGCCGGAGUGGAGCUCCUCUCCUCGCGGGACAACUUUGAUUCACUUGAAAGCUGAAGCGGGCGGAUUAAAGUCAAACUAGCCGAACCCACACCCAAACUACCAGAAAUGUGUCGGAGUGGGGGAUAAAGUCGCAUCUACACCCGCAAACGGGGUAGCAACUCGCGGGAUAAUCGAAGCACACCUCGACGAUUUCCUGGUUGU